ensembl:lncRNA
GGGCUGGCCUCUAGAAUAAAGGAACGUAAGCUUUCCAAGGGCAAGAGCCACAUCUGAUACUUCUUGGCAGGCAGCUCCUGAUGCCCGGGCACUUGGAUGGUAGACACUAACACCCGAAUGUUCUCUGAUGACCCAAGUUCACCCCGGGCUGUUCUCUUGCAGGAGAUGGUAUUCCUGACCCUCUAUCUGCAGGGCUUCAACACUAGAUAGGUAUCCCAGCUGGGACCCAUACUCUUUCCCCUCAUGGCCUUCAGCAAAUUCCGUUAGAAGAGAGAGGUCUGAGUGAGGGCAGGUCUGUGGCCUUUCUCCAGAGAACAGGAUCUGUGUGCCUGGGGGCCCUCUGGGGAGGGGUUUUAUGGCUCUGCCAUUAC